CACAGUAGGUGCUGCAGAAAUGCUAAGACGCCUACAAGGGUUAAAGACAGAAAUCUAUUUCUCGGGGGUGGAGUCCUUGAGAGCAUGGGGGAGGUCCUGGGUUUGAUUGCCGGCACCACACACACACACACACACACACACACACACACACACACGCACGCAUGCACGCGCGCGUGUGCGCGCUCACGAAAUGAUUUUUGCUGUGUAAAAAUGUUUUUUUUCUGGUGGAGGCUGUUACUUUGAGGAGAGGCUUGCAGACCCCAACAUGACAAGGGACCUGCCCCAGGGAGAGGGGCUGGCCUCGUGUCCCCAGCCAUCUGGUGAACCCUGACACAGCCUGCUCGAGGCCUCCAGCGGCUCACUCCCCAGACCCGGUGCCAGCCGUUCCCACACCUCCUGCCACUCGGCCCAGCUUGCUCUGACCACCAGAGAAGUGGUCUCCAUGGCGACCUUGGGCCUUAAGGAAUCCUAACACAUCCACUGAUGCUGACAAAAGUCUCUGAGAAUCCAAGCCGGCUCUCCUGUAUGCAGGUGUAAUGACCCAGAUCAAAGAGCGUUUGUAACGAAGACCUCUGGCUGUGCAAGGACCCGGCAGGCUUCUCCUCAGCCUGAGCCUUUUCCUAAAACUCAAGAAGAUGAUUCUUUCCCUCCGGAGCCCCCGCAGCACAGCCCCUUGAGGCCUCCUCUUCUCCCUGUUUGUCCCCUGCUUUCCUGAGGGCUCCAGGUGUCAGGAAGAGAAGAGAAAGUUUCCAGUGCUGAGGGUUGAACCCAGGCCCUUGACCAUGCUAGCACCAUGUGUCACACGGAGGGAUCAUGGUUUAUUCAGGGGCUCAUCGGCUGAUGGACAUUGUGCUGUUUCUACCUUAUUGACCAACACAGCCUUCAGACCCGGAUCCAGCGUCUCUUCCUCCGGAAGUCUUCCCUGACUCCCUGGGAUGGGUCAUGGCUCCACUGCACACGGCCCCGCCACAUGGUGUAAUCUAAUGUUUGUGCGAUUAUUCAAUUAGCAUCUCUGCACGGGCCGCCUGGAAGAUCCAUGACAGCGCCGGCCAUGUUUGUCUUGCCCUCCUUUCUUCACCUGUGCCCAGCAAAGAGCCAGGCACAAACGUGUUUGUGGGAGAAUCUUCGAGCCAUCUCUGAGAUCAGUCUGCCUCACAGGUGGACAACGGUCUGCAGAGAGCCCCCAGAAUGACCAAAGAUGGUUUGGGAAAAGUCCGAAACUCCUCAAUUUAACUUCUGUGUAAACUGAGCUUCCCACUGCCUCUGUUGCGAGAAAGAAUCAGCAGUGAAUGCUUUCCGAGCUGCCCUGGGCCCGCACCUUCAGCACUCUGUACAGCUUUUGUUCCUGUGGGCUCAGAGCAGAAUACCAAUGUGGAUUUAUAUGCAGACAUUUGUCUUCCCUGUAGCCUUAUGAGCA
rnacentral:lncRNA from 1 species